UGAUGAGAGAUUCUGCAUCAAUAGCUUGUCAGGCGCUUAUCCAUACCAUGCUGUACUCGAGGUUGUUUCCUGAUGAAGGAAUGCUGUCAGCCAAAUUCGAAUAUGAAUGCAGAGUUAGAGGUGCCCAAAGAAUGGCGUUUAACCCUGUUGUUGGUGGCGGACCUAAUGGAAGUGUCAUUCAUUAUUCUCGUAAUGACCAGAAAAUUGAAGAUGGGGACUUUGUUGUUUUAACAGAUUAAAGAUGGUAACCUUGUCUUG
rnacentral:misc_RNA from 1 species